GUGGCCUGCCGUAUUGUAUGGCUUUUUAUUCCUAUGUGAUUAUACAUCUCACUUCAUAUAGGGAUUGAAGCCGUGCAAUACGCUGGCAUCC
rnacentral:pre_miRNA from 1 species